rfam:Candida tenuis ATCC 10573 unplaced genomic scaffold CANTEscaffold_00006, whole genome shotgun sequence.
ACUAUCCUCGUGAUAGUACAUUUGUCAAAUAUAACAAUACAGAGAAGAUUAGCAUUGUCCUUGCAUAAAGAUGACACGCUUUACAAAGAGAUUUAACGUUUUUUU